rnacentral:rRNA from 1 species
CCUACGGGAGGCAGCAGUGAGGAAUAUUGGUCAAUGGACGCAAGUCUGAACCAGCCAUGCCGCGUGAAGGAAGACGGCCCUAUGAGUUGUAAACUGCUUUUGUACGGGGGUAAAAGCAGAUACGCGUGUCUGUCUGAAAGUAUCCUACGAAUAAGGAUCGGCUAACUCCGUGCCAGCAGCCGCGGUAAUCCGGAGGAUUCAAGCGUUAUCCGGAUUUAUUGGGUUUAAAGGGUGCGUAGGCGGUCGGAGAAGCUAGAGGUGAAAUCCCGAGGCUCAACUGCUGAAUUGCCUGUGAUACUGUUUGGCUAGAGUGUAGUUGCAGUAGGCGGAAUGUAUGGUGUAGCGGUGAAAUGCAUAGAUAUCAUACAGAACACCGAUUGCGAAGGCAGCUUACCAAGCUGCUUCUGACGUUGAGGCACGAAAGCGUGGGGAGCAAACAGGAUUAGAUACCCUUGUAGUC